GGCAUCUCGACGGCUCGGCGGGGCCAGAGAGCGAUCGAGGUUUGUUGCCCGCCGCGGAGCUUCCUGAGCCCCGGCCCCCCGCCUCCGCCGACCAAAGGUUUGCCAGUGGGACCGGCCCGGAGACAAUAGCUGCCCCCGCGGGCGCGCUGUCGGCUUGUUUGGAAAGCCCAGAGGCGCUUCGAGGUAAAAAGGUCAGCCCGGGAUCCCAGGUUACCUCGGCCUCCUCCGCCCGCCGUCAGGCCCCCGACCAUCCUCGGACUCCCCCCGCCCCUGACGUCUUCCUCCCUCUCCAGACCUCGGUCUCCCCUCCCCCGCCCGGCACACUGCCCCCCACUAGGCCCCUUCGCGGCCACCUCCUUCCUGCCGUCCAGUGCCCGGAGACCCAGGGCUUUCACCUUGAGCCCAGGCGGAAAGGCCUUGCGGAGGCUGGCCGGCUGCGGCCGGACUCAGGCAGCCACUCCUGACGUCCCCGAGGAGUGGCUGGGUGGAAGGGCGCUGGGCUGGGGUGGGAGUGGGGGUGUUAAGCUGUGUGCCAAUUUGGAGUUUGUCAGCGACCCCUCUGGAGUCUAAGCCAGGCCUGGCUCUGGGCGGGAGGGAGGCAGGUGAGGGGGAAGGGAAGGGGUAGAGUUCACGUCGCCUUCCCCCACACUUCCUCCUCUUUUUAACACCCUCUUUUUGUCCUCUCCAAACAGAUGUUUCUCUUCUUUCCCGUCUUCCUCUCAAGACCCUCUGGGCUGACCCGGCGCGGGGGCUCACGCCUGUAAUCCCAGCACUUUGGAAAGCGGAGGCGGGCAGAUCACUUGAGCCCGGGAGUUGGAGACCAUCCUGGGCGAAAUGGCAAAACCCUGUCUCUACAAAAAUACAAAAAUCAGCCGGGAGUGGUGGUGUGCGCCUGUGGUCCCAGCUACUCUGGAGACUGAGGUGGAGAAUCGCUUGAACCUGAGAGGCAGAGGUUGCAGUGAACGGAGAUUAUGCCACUGUACUCCAGCCUGAGCAACAGAGCGAGACCCUGUCUCAAACAAACAAACAAACAAAAACCAAAACACAAAACCAAAAAACAAAACACAAACCAAAAAACUGCACUCCAGCCUGAGCGACAGAGCCAGACCCUGUCUCAAAAAAAAAAAAAAAAAAAAAAAAAGAAAAAGAAAAAGAAAGAAAGAAAGCAAGAAAGAAAGAAAAAAAGAAAAGAAAAAGAAAAAUCUCUGGGAAUUGCAUUCAUUCCACAGACUUCUUCCAUGCUUUUCUGGAUUCUCCCAAUAACCAAGGGACUGACAACUGUCAAGCCUGAAUGCCUGGGACCCAAUCCUGCUUAGGCCACACCCAGAAAAGAUGAGUGAGGAUCUCCGCGUUGGAGGAAGAGGGAGUCGAAAGAGGCUUCCACUCUUUGAAAAAGACCCAAUGGUGGUUGGGCUUCGGGUCACGUGACACCUUCUUUGUGGCUCCGG
rnacentral:lncRNA from 1 species